rnacentral:snRNA from 1 species
ACGAGACAUGAGGGAUUUGGUUG